GGAUUUUUUUUUUUGCCAAUCAACGGCUUAAAUGAACCACUGGUGCUAACAGCCAUCAGCACCAACCAUCAGCAGACACUGCGGCUCCUCCAGGACUGGGGUUUGACACCUGUGAGCUAAAGUCUCCUUCAGCGUCUCUGUAUGUGUACAAACUGCUGUGGAUUAAAGGCUGCAAACCAAAGGAAAUAUUUAUGGGAUCCUGGCUGAGGACUGAGCCUAAUCAGGAAUCAAAUAUUCUUUUAAAAAUACAAAAAAUCAAAAUUGUGCGGAAGGGAACGAAAAAUUCUGCGUCUACAUUCUGUGACAGACUGUUUAUUCCCAUUACUCCCUCUUCCCCUGCCACCUCACCUCCCCACACAUCCCCAACAGAUUGAGCAAAUUGGCGACCUGAGAGAAUCACCUAAAGCAGGGGUGUCAAGCUGAAUACUCAAAGGGCUGCAGUGUCUACAGGUUUUUGUGGUUUCCUUUCCAUCAGCUGCCAAUUCAGGCCUUGAGAACAAGGUGUGUGGAUUUUUAUUUUGCCAAUCAACGGCUUAAAUGAACCACUGGUGCUAACAGCCAUCAGCACCAACCAUCAGCAGACACUGCGGCUCCUCCAGGACUGGGGUUUGACACCUGUGAGCUAAAGUCUCCUUCAGCGUCUCUGUAUGUGUACAAACUGCUGUGGAUUAAAGGCUGCAAACCAAAGGAAAUAUUUAUGGGAUCCUGGCUGAGGACUGAGCCUAAUCAGGAGUCAAAUAUUUUUUUUUUAAAUACAAAAAAUCUAAAUUGUGCGGAAGGGAAAGAAAAAUUCUGCGUCUACAUUCUGUGACAGACUGUUUAUUCCCAUUACUCCCUCUUCCCCUGCCACCUCACCUCCCCACACAUCCCCAACAGAUUGAGCAAAUUGGCGACCUGAGAGAAUCACCUAAAGCAGGGGUGUCAAGCUGAAUACUCAAAGGGCUGCAGUGUCUACAGGUUUUUGUGGUUUCCUUUCCAUGAGCU